rnacentral:rRNA from 1 species
CCUACGGGAGGCAGCAGUAGGGAAUAUUGCUCAAUGGGGGAAACCCUGAAGCAGCAACGCCGCGUGGAGGAUGAAGGUUUUCGGAUUGUAAACUCCUUUUGUUAGAGAAGAUAAUGACGGUAUCUAACGAAUAAGCACCGGCUAACUCCGUGCCAGCAGCCGCGGUAAUACGGAGGGUGCAAGCGUUACUCGGAAUCACUGGGCGUAAAGAGCGCGUAGGCGGGAUAGCAAGUCAGAUGUGAAAUCCUAUGGCUUAACCGUAGAAUUGCAUUUGAAACUGUUAUUCUAGAGUAUGGGAGAGGUAGGUGGAAUUCUUGGUGUAGGGGUAAAAUGCGUAGAGAUCAAGAGGAAUACUGAUUGCGAAGGCGGCCUGCUAGAACAUAACUGACGCUGAUGCGCGAAAGCGUGGGGAGCAAACAGGAUUAGAUACCCGUGUAGUC